rnacentral:tRNA from 1 species
CGGGAAGUAGCUCAGCUUGGUAGAGCGCCACGUUCGGGACGUGGAGGUCGUAGGUUCGAAUCCUGUUUUCCCGA